rnacentral:misc_RNA from 1 species
GAUGAAGAACGUAGCGAAAUGCGAUAAGUAGUGUGAAUUGCAGAAUUCCGUGAAUCAUCGAAUCUUUGAACGCACAUUGCGCCUUCUGGUAUUCCGGAAGGCAUGCCUGUUCGAGAGUCAUUAACAACCGUUUCGAUCCCUUUCUUUCAGAAAUUACAAAGAGGAAAAGGGUUUGGUUAUGUGGAGGAGGGAAAGGGAGCGUUUAGCCUGUAAAAAAAGAGGCUGUGUUCCGCCUCCCCCCCAAAAUUGUACAGGCGGUCGUGUGCGCCCACGCAUCGAGGUGUUGUAAAAGCUGCCACGGCACUUUUCACCUGUGCAGUGCGAGAUUGGCCAGCCGGUUUAAAAACCCCUCCAAACAAUCAAAGGUUGACCUCGGAUCAGGUAGGGAUACCCGCUGAACUUAAGCAUAUCAAUAAGCGGAGGA